rnacentral:rRNA from 1 species
CGGUAAUUCCAGCUCCAAUAGCGUAUAUUAAUGUUGUUGCAGUUAAAAAGCUCGUAGUUGGAACUUGGAGUGGGGAAACUGGUCUGCCGUAAGGUGUGUACUGGUGGCUCUGCUCUUUUGUCCAAGUAAUGCUUCUGCUCUUAACUGAGUGGGGGUAGGGCUUGGGCCGUUUACUUUGAAAAAAUUAGAGUGCUCUAAGCAAGCUUAUGCUUUGAAUACAUUAGCAUGGAAUAAUAAAAUAGGACUUUGGUCUUAUUUUGUUGGUUUCUAAGACUAAAGUAAUGAUUAAUAGGGAUAGUUGGGGGCAUUAAUAUUUAAUUGUCAGAGGUGAAAUUCUUGGAUUUAUGAAAGAUUAACUACUGCGAAAGCAUUUGCCAAGGAUGUUUUCAUUAAUCAAGAACGAAAGCUGGGGGAUCGAAGAUGAUCAGAUACCGUCGUAGUCUCAGCCAUAAACCGUGCCGACUAGGGAUUGGUGGACGCUAUUUUGGCUCCAUCAGCACCUUAUGAGAAAUCAAAGUUUUUGGGUUCUGGGGGGAGUAUGGUCGCAAGGCUGAAACUUAAAGGAAUUGACGGAAGGGCACCACCAGGAGUGGAGCCUGCGGCUUAAUUUGACUCAACACGGGAAAACUUACCAGGUCCAGACAUAGUAAGGAUUGACAGAUUGAGAGCUCUUUCUUGAUUCUAUGGGUGGUGGUGCAUGGCCGUCCUUAGUUGGUGGAGUGAUUUGUCUGCUUAAUUGCGAUAACGAACGAGACCUUAACCUACUAAAUAGUUACACGAAUUUCUGAUUCGUGGCCAACUUCUUAGAGGGACUAUAUAAGUCAAUUAUAUGGAAGUUUGAGGCAAUAACAGGUCUGUGAUGCCCUUAGAUGUUCUGGGCUGCACGCGCGCUACACUGACAAGUUCAGCGAGUUUCAACCUUAACCGAUAGGUUUGGGUAAUCUUGUAAAAGCUUGUCGUGCUGGGGAUAGAUUAUUGCAAUUAUUAAUCUUCAACGAGGAAUUCCUAGUAAGCGCGAGUCAACAGCUCGCGUUGAUUACGUCCCUGCCCCUUGUACACACCGCCC